rnacentral:rRNA from 1 species
GACGAACGCUGGCGGCGUGCCUAAUACAUGCAAGUCGAACGCAGUGGGGACGGGUGAGUAACCCGUGGGUAACCUCCCAUCAGAGGGGAUCACACUUGGAAACAGGUGCUAAACCGAUACUGUUGGAUGAACCCGCGGUGCAUUAGCUAGUUGGUGAGGUAACGGCUCACCAAGGCCACGAUGCAUAGACGACCUGAGGGGGGGAUCGGCCACACUGGGACUGAGACACGGCCCAGAAUCCUACGGGAGGCAGCAGUGGGGAAUUGUCGGCAAGGGACGAAAGUCUGACCGAGCAACGCCGCGUGAGUGAAGAAGGUUUUCGGAUCGUAAAACUCUGUUGUUAGAGAAGCGGUAUCUAACCAGAAAGCCACGGCUAACUACGUGCCAGCAGCCGCGGUAAUUC